UACGGGGGGGGUAAGCGUUGUUCGGAAUUACUGGGCGUAAAGGGCUCGUAGGCGGCCAACUAAGUCAGACGUGAAAUCCCUCAGCUUAACUGGGGAACUGCGUCUGAUACUGGAUGGCUUGGAUUCGGGAGAGGAAUGCGGAAUUCCAGGUGUAGCGGUGAAAUGCGUAGAUAUCAGGAGGAACACCGAUGGCGAAGGCAGGUCUCUGGGCUGACACUGACGCUCAUGCACGAAAGCGUGGGGAGCAAACAGG
rnacentral:rRNA from 1 species